UACGGAGGAUGCAAGCGUUAUCCGGAAUGAUUGGGCGUAAAGCGUCCGCAGGUGGCAAUGUAAGUCUGCUGUUAAAGAGUGAGGCUCAACCUCAUAAAGGCAGUGGAAACUACAUGGCUAGAGUGCGUUCGGGGCAGAGGGAAUUCCUGGUGUAGCGGUGAAAUGCGUAGAGAUCAGGAAGAACACCGGUGGCGAAAGCGCUCUGCUAGGCCGCAACUGACACUGAGGGACGAAAGCUAGGGGAGCGAAUGGG
rnacentral:rRNA from 1 species